rnacentral:rRNA from 1 species
GACGAACGCUGGCGGCGUGCUUAACACAUGGAAGUCGAACGGUAAGGCCCUUCGGGGUACACGAGUGGCGAACGGGUGAGUAACACGUGGGUGAUCUGCCCUGCACUUCGGGAUAAGCCUGGGAAACUGGGUCUAAUACCGGAUAGGACUCCUGGCUUCAUGGUUGGGGGUGGAAAGCUUUUGCGGUGUGGGAUGGGCCCGCGGCCUAUCAGCUUGUUGGUGGGGUAAUGGCCUACCAAGGCGACGACGGGUAGCCGGCCUGAGAGGGUGACCGGUCACACUGGGACUGAGAUACGGCCCAGACUCCUACGGGAGGCAGCAGUGGUGAAUAUUGCACAAUGGGCGCAAGCCUGAUGCAGCGACGCCGCGUGAGGGAUGACGGCCUUCGGGUUGUAAACCUCUUUCAGCUAUGACGAAGCGCAAGUGACGGUAGUAGCAGAAGAAGGACCGGCCAACUACGUGCCAGCCGCCGCGGUAA